rnacentral:misc_RNA from 1 species
UACAGAGGCCCCGAGCGUUAUCCGGAAUUAUUGGGCGUAAAGGGUGCGUAGGCGGCUUUAUUAGUCCCAUGUUAAAACCCAGGGCUUAACCCUGGGCUCGCAUUGGAAACGGUAAAGCUAGAGUACAUGAGAGGCUCAUGGAACCCAUAGUGUAGGGGUGAAAUCCGUUGAUAUUAUGGGGAACACCAAAGGCGAAGGCAAUGAGCUGGCAUGUUACUGACGCUGAGGCACGAAAGCCAGGGUAGCGAAAGGG